rnacentral:rRNA from 1 species
GACGAACGCUGGCGGCGUGCUUAACACAUGCAAGUCGAGCGGAGCGGCGAACGGGUGAGUAACGCGUGAGUAACUGCCCCCCUCUCUGGGAUAACAGUUGGAAACGGCUUCUCAUACCGGAUAGUGGGGGAUGACUCGCGUCCUAUCAGUUUGUUGGUGGGGUAGUGGCCUACUAAGGCGACGACGGGUAGCCGGCCUGAGAGGGCGACCGGCCACAUGGGGCUGAGAUACGGCACAAACGCCUACGGGAGGCAGAAGUGGGGAAUAUUACACAAUGGGGGAAACACUGAUGCAGCAACGCCGCGUGCGGGAUGACGGUCUUCGGAUUGUAAACUUCUGUAGACAGGGACGCGGUACCUGUAGAAUAAGCCACGGCUAACUACGUGCCAGCAGCCGCGGUAAUAC